rnacentral:rRNA from 1 species
CCUACGGGCGGCAGCAGUGAGGAAUAUUGGUCAAUGGACGAGAGUCUGAACCAGCCAAGUAGCGUGAAGGAUGACUGCCCUAUGGGUUGUAAACUUCUUUUAUAUGGGAAUAAAAUGUUCCACGUGUGGGAUUUUGUAUGUACCAUAUGAAUAAGUAUCGGCUAACUCCGUGCCAGCAGCCGCGGUAAUACGGAGGAUCCGAGCGUUAUCCGGAUUUAUUGGGUUUAAAGGGAGCGUAGGUGGAUUGUUAAGUCAGUUGUGAAAGUUUGCGGCUCAACCGUAAAAUUGCAGUUGAAACUGGCAGUCUUGAGUACAGUAGAGGUGGGCGGAAUUCGUGGUGUAGCGGUGAAAUGCUUAGAUAUCACGAGGAACUCCGAUUGCGAAGGCAGUUCACUGGACUGCAACUGACACUGAGGCUCGAAAGUGUGGGUAUCAAACAGGAUUAGAUACCCCAGUAGUC